GGAGACCACUGAUCAACUGAUUCAAUCUCGGUCUCAAGAAGAGAUAUAUCUUCACUUUUUUCUGUCACCUGCUCUUCACUCUCAAGCUUAGGUGACAGAAAAAAGUGAAGAUAUACCUCUUCUUGAGACUGAGAUUGAAUCAGUUGAUCAGUGGUCUCCAACUUGUCAAUUGGCACAGGUGUUGCCAAAGCGCCAGAGAUGCAAAAACAUUGUGCCUGUUUAUUAGUCUGAACGGAAAUUGAAAUAUGUAUAUAUGUUCAGAGAGAGUUAAAUCAUUUUUGUGAAUAAUUGUGAUCGAAAAGUAUGAUUAUGAAAUGAAUUGGAUUUUAAGAGAAAUUUGAGAUCCAUGGUUAAGCCAGCAGUGAGUUGUAAUAUAGUCUGGCAGCAUCAAAUUAAUCUAUGUGGCACAAUGAAUUAAGUUUUCAGAGGUUGGGAAAACUAUUGAUUAAUGAAGUGAAGCAUCAGUGUAUUAGGUUAUGGUUCUGGCAUCGAUUGUGUUAAUAAAGAUGCAAGAAGAGAGUUGA